rnacentral:rRNA from 1 species
AUUGAACGCUGGCGGCAUGCCUAACAUAUGCAAGUCGCACGCGAAAGGGGGCAAUCCUGAGUAGAGUGGCGGACGGGUGAGUAACGCGUAGGAAUCUACCUGGUAGUGGGGGACAACCCGGUGAAAACCGGGCUAAUACCGCAUACGAUCCACGGAUGAAAGCAGGGGACCGCAAGGCCUUGCGCUAUCAGAUGAGCCUGCGUCGGAUUAGCUAGUUGGUGGGGUAAAGGCCCACCAAGGCGACGAUCCGUAGCUGGUUUGAGAGAACGACCAGCCACACUGGGACUGAGACACGGCCCAGACUCCUACGGGAGGUAGCAGUGGGGAAUAUUGGACAAUGGGGGCAACCCUGAUCCAGCAAUGCCGCGUGUGUGAAGAAGGCCUUCGGGUUGUAAAGCACUUUCGGUGGGGACAAACAAGGUGGAGCUAACAUCUCCGCCUCUGAUGGUACCCAAAGAAGAAGCACCGGCUAACUCUGUGCCAGCCGCCGCCGUAA